rnacentral:rRNA from 1 species
UUACAUGAUCAAGCUACAAAGGGCAUAUGGUGAAUGCCUUGGCACCAGUAGCCGAUGAAGGACG